AACGCACAUUGCGCCCUUUAGUAUUCUGAAGGGCAUGCCUGUUCGAGCGUCAUUAUCACUAAUCAAGCCCGGCUUGCUGUUGGACCUCUUGUCGUUAAGAGACAGGCCCCAAAGAUAAUGACGGCGUCAAUUGGACCCUAGAUGCAACGAGCUUUCAUUAGCACGCAUUUUAGUAAAGCCUUUUGACCCGGUCUUUUUUAACCAAUUUCUUAAGGUUGACCUCGGAUCAGGUAGGAAUACCCGCUGAACUUAA
rnacentral:misc_RNA from 1 species